GGCCCUCUAUCCUCACAACAUAAUGCCAAGCAUAUCACAUCUGCCUCCUCUAUCUCUGUUUGCCGUCCUCGACAGAGAGAAACCACUUCCCUUCCCCUAUGCUAAGUAAUAUCAUUACAAAUAGGAUCAGAACGGGACUUGAAACUACAGUGGUUGGAGAAGGUGAAGAGAAGGGGAAUUAUACCAGGCACUGACCUUCUGGGAGCUGGAUCAGCAAAGGGUCUAAAGGGUCGCAGUUAAGGGACGAUGCUAAUGGCGACAACAACCAUGGGUGCUUGUUCCCAUGGAACCUCUCUUCAGCUGUUGCUAGGGAGUCUCGUGGAGUAGCAGGCUGAGCAGCUCAUCCUGGACGGCAGCA
rnacentral:lncRNA from 1 species